UACGAAGGGGGCUAGCGUUGCUCGGAAUCACUGGGCGUAAAGCGCAUGUAGGCGGAUUGUUAAGUCAGGGGUGAAAUCCUGGAGCUCAACUCCAGAACUGCCUUUGAUACUGGCGAUCUUGAGUCCGGGAGAGGUGAGUGGAACUGCGAGUGUAGAGGUGAAAUUCGUAGAUAUUCGCAAGAACACCAGUGGCGAAGGCGGCUCACUGGCCCGGUACUGACGCUGAGGUGCGAAAGCGUGGGGAGCAAACAGG
rnacentral:rRNA from 1 species